rnacentral:rRNA from 1 species
UGGGGAAUUUUGGACAAUGGGCGAAAGCCCGAUCCAGCAAUGCCGCGUGUGUGAAGAAGGCCUUCGGGUUGUAAAGCACUUUUGUCCGGAAAGAAAUCCUUGGCUCUAAUACAGUCGGGGGAUGACGGUACCGGAAGAAUAAGCACCGGCUAACUACGUGCCAGCAGCCGCGGUAAUACGUAGGGUGCAAGCGUUAAUCGGAAUUACUGGGCGUAAAGCGUGCGCAGGCGGUUUGCUAAGACCGAUGUGAAAUCCCCGGGCUCAACCUGGGAACUGCAUUGGUGACUGGCAGGCUAGAGUAUGGCAGAGGGGGGUAGAAUUCCACGUGUAGCAGUGAAAUGCGUAGAGAUGUGGAGGAAUACCGAUGGCGAAGGCAGCCCCCUGGGCCAAUACUGACGCUCAUGCACGAAAGCGUGGGGAGCAAACAGGAUUAGAUACCCUGGUAGUCCACGCCCUAAACGAUGUCAACUAGUUGUUGGGGAUUCAUUUCCUUAGUAACGUAGCUAACGCGUGAAGUUGACCGCCUGGGGAGUACGGUCGCAAGAUUAAAACUUAAAGGAAUUGACGGGGUCAUAGCUGUUUCCU